rnacentral:rRNA from 1 species
AUUGAACGCUGGCGGCAUGCCUUACACAUGCAAGUCGAACGGCAGCACGGGAGCAAUCCUGGUGGCGAGUGGCGAACGGGUGAGUAAAGUAUCGGAACGUGCCCAGUCGUGGGGGAUAACGUAGCGAGAGUUACGCUAAUACCGCAUACGAUCUAUGGAUGAAAGCGGGGGAUCGCAAGACCUCGCGCGAUUGGAGCGGCCGAUAUCAGAUUAGGUAGUUGGUGGGGUAAAGGCUCACCAAGCCGACGAUCUGUAGCUGGUCUGAGAGGACGACCAGCCACACUGGGACUGAGACACGGCCCAGACUCCUACGGGAGGCAGCAGUGGGGAAUUUUGGACGAUGGGCGCAAGCCUGAUCCAGCCAUGCCGCGUGCAGGAUGAAGGCCUUCGGGUUGUAAACUGCUUUUGUACGGAACGAAAAGGUUUGACUUAAUACGUUGGACUCAUGACGGUACCGUAAGAAUAAGCACCGGCUAACUACGUGCCAGCAGCCGCGGUAAAAC